UAAUAAGUGUUUUAUGGCACUUUUUAAAUCCAUAUCCACCUUGUGUGCAAUGUCAGUCGGUCUUCUUUAUGGAGAUCGGCCAAACAUCAACCUAAUUUUUUAACUCUUUGUCUGAAAAAUAUUAUGAAUAAAAUAAUUCAAAAUACAACUUUCAACAACGGAUCUCUUGGCUCUCGCAUCGAUGAAGAACGCAGCGAAAUGCGAUACGUAAUGUGAAUUGCAGAAUUCAGUGAAUCAUCGAAUCUUUGAACGCAUAUUGCGCUCUUUGGUAUUCCGAAGAGCAUGCUUGUUUGAGUAUCAGUAAACACCUCAAAACUUUUUUUUAUUUUUGAAAAUCAGUUUUGGACUUGAGCAAUCCCAACACCAAUCUUUUUUAGAUCGGUGGCGGGUUGCUUGAAAUGCAGGUGCAGCUGGACAUUCUCCUGAGCUAAAAGCAUAUUUAUUUAGUCCCGUCAAACGGAUUAUUACUUUUGCUGCAGCUAAUAUAAAGGGAGUUUGACCGUUUUGGCUGACUGAUGCAGGAUUUCACAAGGGUCGGCAACGAUUCUUGUAAAACUCGAUCUCAAAUCAAGUAAGACUACCCGCUGAACUUAAGCAUAUCAU
rnacentral:sRNA from 1 species